AAAACAUAACCAAAAGAACAAAAGACAGAGCUUGACACACCAAUCUUGAGGUGUUGUGCCGUUCUCUGGGAGCAUACAGAUGAAAUGACCUGAACCCUGCCCACCAUUUAACCAAGUAAGAAUACAAUUCUCUCUCAUUUAGGUUAUCACGCUAUAAUAGAGAAUGGACUCAUUAAUAUGGGAUUACAGAGGAAGGAAUGGUUAAGAAAAAGACAUGGCCUCUGCCUGCUCCAAAAAAGGAUAAGCAGGGCUUCACAGAAGAGGUGACAGAAAAGGAAGUGGAAUGGAAUAAAAUCCCCCCAAUACAGUACAAUUAUACAUUAAUGGCUGUAAUGUGAAGAGCAUCACACACGAAGAGAGCCGUCUUCCAGAAAUAAGUUUAUACACUCUCUCCUCUAAUUGCAUCAGGACUUUACCAGAUAAUGUUCUUCCAGAUCUGAAAAGGAAAAUGCCUAAAAGAGCUUCCAAACUCAUUUUUGAAUAACACUAGGCUACAAAGAAUUACAUUGUGAAUUCAUUAAGGGUAACACCAAACCACUAA
rnacentral:sRNA from 1 species